AGAGUUUGAUCCUGGCUCAGGAUGAACGCUGGCGGCGUGCCUAAUACAUGCAAGUCGAACGAGAGCCAUGAGCAAUUGUGGUUCUAGUGGCAGACGGGUGAGGAACACAUGGCUGACCUGCCCUCUAGCGGGGGACAACAACUGGAAACGGUUGCUAAUACCGCGUAAGCUGGUUGAGGUUAGAGGCUCGACCAGGAAAGCCGCAAGGCACUAGAGGAGGGGGCUGUGGCCCAUCAGCUAGUUGGUGAGGUAACGGCUCACCAAGGCGAGGACGGGUAGGGGGCCUGAGAGGGUGACCCCCCACACGGGCACUGAGAGACGGGCCCGACUCCUACGGGAGGCAGCAGUAAGGGAUAUUGCGCCAAUGGGCGAAAGCCUGACGCAGCAACGCCGCGUGCGGGAUGACAGCCUUCGGGUUGUAAACCGCUUUUCGAGGAGAAGAGGCAGGACGGUAUCCUCGGAAGAAGUCUCGGCUAACUACGUGCCAGCAGCCGCGGUAAAACGUAGGAGGCGAGCGUUAUCCGGAUUUACUGGGUGUAAAGCGCGCGCAGGCGGUUCGUUAAGGGAUGUGUGAAAGCGCCCAGGCUCAACCGGGCGAGGACGUGUUCGACUGACGAACUGGAAGCAGGUAGAGGCGGGUGGAAUUCCGGGUGUAGUGGUGAAAUGCGUAGAGAUCCGGAGGAACACCAGUGGCGAAGGCGGCCCGCUGGGCCUGACUUGACGCUCAAGCGCGACAGCAUGGGGAGCGAACGGGAUUAGAAACCCCGGUAGUCCAUGCCGUAAACGAUGUGGACUGGGUGUGGCCUUGAAAGAGGCUGUGCCGAACUCAACAGGAUAAGUCCACCACCUGGGGACUACGGCCGCAAGGUUAAAACUCAAAGGAAUUGAUGG
rnacentral:rRNA from 1 species